GAAUACGCUGCUAUCAGUGACCUCCGGGUCAUCUCUCCCCUCUCUUCCUUACGGUUUGCAUAAACGAGCUGUUUUCGGCUCUGGGAAAGAAAAGCCAUCCAGCGAUUAUGUGGAUCUAAUUAAGUCAGUUGGGAUACUGGCAGAGAGCGGCACUGGCUGGAGGCGGAGUUUGUUCCGAAGGACUAUGGAAGGAUCGCACACGGCCCUUUUCAGCUGCUCGAGCUCGGCCGGCGCCUGGCUGCAAACGGAAGCCUGAACUGGGCUGGGGAGCUAUGCCCGCAGACUUCUCAUUUUAUUCACAAAACUGGCCAGCCUCGGGGAAAGCUUUGAGGCUAGGGCUAGCCCCCUCCUUCCCACUCCAGACCGAGCUACGGCUCCAAAAUGAGACAGCUGUCUAGCCUUAGCCCGUACAUUUCCUUUCUCCACCCGGAUCUUCGGCUGCUCAGGAGCGAUCAGCUCCCUUAGCCGGGAGACUCCAGAUCCUGUGACCUGCGGGGGCAGACCUCAGAUGUGUUCGCGUUGGCAUGCACAGAAAUGACUGGGGCCCCAGUGUGUGCACCUUCAACUCUGCAGCCCACCUGCCCUCUUCCAGGCGCUGGCACAAGGGCAGGUGCCUCCGCCGUAGCGUCUACACGUCUGCCAGGCAAAGUUCGAAAGUACGAAUUUCCAUCUUCUUUUUCCACUACUCCUGGCCAUUUCCAUUCCCAGCCCCAUCCCCUCCACCCCAAACCGUGAACUAUGUGGUAGGGGGCUCGCUUAAGCACCCUGCACUCGAGUACUGCCGCGGUGGCGGCCAAAGUGAGCUGCGGAGCCUGUCGGCUGCUGUUUGUGGGAAGAGGGUUGCGACCUCAGGAGAGAGUGAAAACAGCGCCGCUUGAAAAGCACCAGUUCCGAAGAUCCACAGAGUUCAUGGAGUGGUAGAGAAGGCUCCAUGCUCUUGAGAGCAGAGGUGGACAGGGUCAGUGGGGGCCGCUUCCGGGUGUGUGGGGGCGAGAACCUCAGGUCUAAGUGCGCUCUUCUGGGCCGAGCCUCUUUUUCUCUAUCCUCACGUGUCUGCCCUCUGGACAACAGUGGCUCCGUAUGGUGGGCUGCGACCCUGACUGACGGGCCUAUCUUGCGUCCUGUGUCCUGCAUCCUCCAGACCUCACACGCGGUUUUCCCCUCCAGACCUGACGCUUGGUGUCCAACAGUGGACCCAGCAGGACUGCCUGGAAGGCUCAUCAUCCAGGCAAAGCCUGAAGCCAUGCUACCUGGUCGGGGACUGCAAACCUGCUUGGAGUCAGCAGUGAGACCCUAGCGGGGAAGGAGAAUGUGUGAGGGUGCGCCUGGGUUGAGGGUCUGUGACUGUAGCAUGGAAAAGGAGGACUUCAUGCAGGGAUGGCCCUGUGGGAUAGCCAAGAAUACUUCAGCGGCAGCUUCCUUCCUACCAAUUACACGCGGCCUUCUGACACAGUGGCACUUCAGCAACUGGACGCCCUUCCCAGGCCCUGAAUUGGGGCAGGGCAGGAGGGAGGGUGCAGAACCAUAGGGACCUAUUUCCCAGGCAGUGUAACUGGCAAGGCCGUAAGUCUUCUCGUGGGCGCAGAAAUAUUGCCAGGUCCCUGUGUCCUCUGGGCAGAUGCAGAGCCGUGUAAGCCUCACAGAAGCGGAGCCAGGGGAACAGCGGGAGCUCUGGCUUGGCGGUACGGACGCUAGUGAUGGAUUCCUGGGGAACAGCGACCUCUGGAGGAACCUCUCAUCCACGCAAAGAGUCAGGAGCUAGACAGAGGACAAGAAAGAAGCCUUCUGGAGAGCUCAGUUCAUCUUCCCCCUUCCUGCUCUGAGCUCAUUCUCAGGCCAUACUGCACAGCCGACCUGCUUCCUGCUGGAUCUUCUCCAAAAAGACCGUGAAUCCACUCCACCCGUGCUUUGAGUUGCAUGGUGGGCAUCCCAUUCCCGCCCAACCACCUCACCCAACCCCCCAGUAAAUAAAGACUGAAGUUAUUCAUUCCAAAA